rnacentral:misc_RNA from 1 species
AACAAGGCGUACCUGCGGACCUGCGGAAGGAUCAUUACUGAGUGAGGGCCUUCGGGCUCGACCUCCAACCCUUUGUGAACACAACUUGUUGCUUCGGGGGCGACCCUGCCGUUUCGACGGCGAGCGCCCCCGGAGGCCUUCAAACACUGCAUCUUUGCGUCGGAGUUUAAGUAAAUUAAACAAAACUUUCAGCAAUGGAUCU